GCCGAAGUGGCGGAACUGGCAGACGCGUUAGUUUCAGGUACUAAUGGGAGUAAUCUCGUGGGGGUUCAAGUCCCUUCUUCGGCA
rnacentral:tRNA from 1 species